AGUGCUAAGUGUUAGAGGGUUUCCGCCCUUUAGUGCUGCAGCAAACGCAUUACGCACUCCGCCUGGGGAGUACGGCCGCAAGGCUGAAACUCAAAGGAAUUGACGGGGGCCCGCACAAGCGGUGGAGCAUGUGGUUUAAUUCGAAGCAACGCGAAGAAGGUUACCAGGUCUUGACAUCCUCUGACAACCCUAGAGAUAGGGCGUUCCCCUUCGGGGGACAGAGUGACAGGUGGUGCAUGGUUGUCGUCAGCUCGUGUCGUGAGAUGUUGGGUUAAGUCCCGCAACGAGCGCAACCCUUGAUCUUAGUUGCCAGCAUUCAGUUGGGCACUCUAAGGUGACUGCCGGUGACAAACCGGAGGAAGGUGGGGAUGACAUCAAAUCAUCAUGCCCCUUAUGACCUGGGCUACACACGUGCUACAAUGGAUGGAACAAAGGGCAGCGAAGCCGCGAGGUGAAGCCAAUCCCAUAAAUCCAUUCUCAGUUCGGAUUGCAGGCUGCAACUCGCCUGCAUGAAGCCGGAAUCGCUAGUAAUCGCGGAUCAGCA
rnacentral:rRNA from 1 species